CCUACGGGCGGCAGCAGUGGGGAAUAUUGGACAAUAGGGGGAACCCUGAUCCAGCCAUGCCGCGUGUGUGAAGAAGGCCCUCGGGUUGUAAAGCACUUUCAGUGAGGAAGAACGCCUGGUGGUUAAUACCCAUCAGGAAAGACAUCACUCACAGAAGAAGCACCGGCUAACUCCGUGCCAGCAGCCGCGGUAAUACGGAGGGUGCGAGCGUUAAUCGGAAUUACUGGGCGUAAAGCGCGCGUAGGUGGCUUGAUAAGCCGGUUGUGAAAGCCCCGGGCUCAACCUGGGAACGGCAUCCGGAACUGUCAAGCUAGAGUGCAGGAGAGGAAGGUAGAAUUCCCGGUGUAGCGGUGAAAUGCGUAGAGAUCGGGAGGAAUACCAGUGGCGAAGGCGGCCUUCUGGACUGACACUGACACUGAGGUGCGAAAGCGUGGGUAGCAAACAGGAUUAGAUACCCUAGUAGUC
rnacentral:rRNA from 1 species